rnacentral:rRNA from 1 species
UACGUAGGGUGCGAGCGUUGUCCGGAAUUAUUGGGCGUAAAGGGCUCGUAGGCGGUUUGUCGCGUCUGCUGUGAAAACUGGAGGCUCAACCUCCAGCCUGCAGUGGGUACGGGCAGACUAGAGUGCGGUAGGGGAGAUUGGAAUUCCUGGUGUAGCGGUGGAAUGCGCAGAUAUCAGGAGGAACACCGAUGGCGAAGGCAGAUCUCUGGGCCGUAACUGACGCUGAGGAGCGAAAGCGUGGGGAGCAAACAGG